rnacentral:rRNA from 1 species
AGUGAACGCUGGCGGUAGGCCUAACACAUGCAAGUCGAACGGCAGCACAGUAAGAGCUUGCUCUUACGGGUGGCGAGUGGCGGACGGGUGAGGAAUACAUCGGAAUCUACUUUUUCGUGGGGGAUAACGUAGGGAAACUUACGCUAAUACCGCAUACGACCUACGGGUGAAAGCAGGGGAUCUUCGGACCUUGCGCGAUUGAAUGAGUCGAUGUCGGAUUAGCUAGUUGGCGGGGUAAAGGCCCACCAAGGCGACGAUCCGUAGCUGGUCUGAGAGGAUGAUCAGCCACACUGGAACUGAGACACGGUCCAGACUCCUACGGGAGGCAGCAGUGGGGAAUAUUGGGCAAUGGGCGAAAGCCUGAUCCAGCCAUACCGCGUGGGUGAAGAAGGCCUUCGGGUUGUAAAGCCCUUUUGUUGGGAAAGAAAAGCAGCAGGUUAAUACCCCGCUGUUCUGACGGUACCCAAAGAAUAAGCACCGGCUAACUUCGUG